AACGAACGCUGGCGGCAGGCUUAACACAUGCAAGUCGAGCGCCCCGCAAGGGGAGCGGCAGCCGGGUGAGUAACGCGUGGGAACGUACCUUUUGGUUCGGAACAACUCCGGGAAACUGGAGCUAAUACCGGAUAAGCCCUAACGGGGAAAGAUUUAUCGCCGAAAGAUCGGCCCGCGUCUGAUUAGCUAGUUGGUGAGAUAACGGCUCACCAAGGCGACGAUCAGUAGCUGGUCUGAGAGGAUGAUCAGCCACACUGGGACUGAGACACGGCCCAGACUCCUACGGGAGGCAGCAGUGGGGAAUAUUGGACAAUGGGCGCAAGCCUGAUCCAGCCAUGCCGCGUGAGUGAUGAAGGCCUUAGGGUUGUAAAGCUCUUUUGUCCGGGAAGAUAAUGACUGUACCGGAAGAAUAAGCCCCGGCUAACUUCGUG
rnacentral:rRNA from 1 species